rnacentral:rRNA from 1 species
UAACGCGUGAGGAACCUGCCUCAAAGAGGGGGACAACAGUUGGAAACGACUGCUAAUACCGCAUAAGCCCACGGCUCGGCAUCGAGCAGGGGGAAAAGGAGCAAUCCGCUUUGAGAUGGCCUCGCGUCCGAUUAGCUAGUUGGUGAGGUAACGGCCCACCAAGGCGACGAUCGGUAGCCGGACUGAGAGGUUGAACGGCCACAUUGGGACUGAGACACGGCCCAGACUCCUACGGGAGGCAGCAGUGGGGAAUAUUGCACAAUGGGGGAAACCCUGAUGCAGCGACGCCGCGUGGAGGAAGAAGGUCUUCGGAUUGUAAACUCCUGUUGUUGAGGGAGAUAAUGACGGCACUCAACAAGGAAGUGACGGCUAACUACGUGCCAGCAGCCGCGGUAAAACGUAGGUCACAAGCGUUGUCCGGAAUUACUGGGUGUAAAGGGAGCGCAGGCGGGAGAACAAGUUGGAAGUGAAAUCCAUGGGCUCAACCCAUGAACUGCUUUCAAAACUGUUUUUCUUGAGUAGUGCAGAGGUAGGCGGAAUUCCCGGUGUAGCGGUGGAAUGCGUAGAUAUCGGGAGGAACACCAGUGGCGAAGGCGGCCUACUGAGCACCAACUGACGCUGAGGCUCGAAAGUGCGGGUAGCAAACAGGAUUAGAUACCCUGGUAGUCCACACCGUAAACGAUGAUUACUAGGUGU